rnacentral:misc_RNA from 1 species
GGAUCUUUGCUUGAGCAACGACGUCCGCCCGUUCGAGCCUCUUCAUUCAUGGUUCAAGAGUAUUGAUAUCCUUGGCCGGUUUUGGUUUCCUGUGUUUCAUACCGAUAGACGGAAUUGUUUAGAUUCAAUCGCCCCUCGUUCGUCUUAUGAUGCCCGCUUUCGGCGUGCGCAUCGUUGAUGAACCACGAAGUGCCCGUUGCUGUCCGCCUCAGGCACGAUUAGUGUUGAAUGCGGCCUGUGACAGGGUACUUGUUCUCAUGGAUGCGGAACCCUCUUAGGGUACGGGGAUUGUCCCCUUUUUGCCCAAAAUUAUGCGUUCACCGCUAAUUAGCGAACGACCGUUGUUGGCGUCUUAGGCUG